rnacentral:rRNA from 1 species
AUUGAACGCUGGCGGCAUGCCUAACACAUGCAAGUCGAACGGUAACAGGACGCUAGGAUCCCUUCGGGGUGACUUUGUCGCUGACGAGUGGCGGACGGGUGAGUAAUGCGUAGGAAUCUACCUUCAAGUGGGGGAUAGCCCGGAGAAAUCCGGAUUAAUACCGCAUGUGCUCUACGGAGCAAAGCGGGCCUCUGUUUCAAGCUCGCGCUUGAAGGUGAGCCUACGUCGGAUUAGCUAGUUGGUGGGGUAAAAGCCUACCAAGGCGACGAUCCGUAGCUGGUUUGAGAGGAUGAUCAGCCACACUGGGACUGAGACACGGCCCAG